UCAUUCUAAAACUGACUGGAGCUCUAUAUUAAUGGUGUCAGUUAUUUAUUUUACAGUUGCAGCCGACGUCUAUAUGGUUGAGUCGUCAGGGUACAUAGACACACGGGCUUAAUUCAAGGUGCUUUGCUAUUUUGGGGCAGCGGAAGGACCUCUACCUCCCUCCAGGCCUGACGGCACACUCCGUCUUCUGGGCUUAGAUUGAAGAUGUGGCAAAUAGGAGUCGCAACGUAUUCCGCUACCAACCUCAGUCAUUUAUCAUCCUGGUUGUCGGUUCCAGGUGGUUUGUCCUUAUUUAUAGAUAGCAAUAAUUGUUUCACCUCUUCCACACUAACUUUGCGGAAUCCUAAGCCACAGUGCUUGUCUUUCAUUAUUUGGUCCGUUAUUGUCACGUUCUUUUGUAUUUUGUAUUUGUGUAGUGUUCACGUUAUCGUCUUUCAUUAAACAUGUUGAACACGAA